AGAGUUUGAUCAUGGCUCAGAGCGAACGCUGGCGGCAGGCUUAACACAUGCAAGUCGAGCGGGUGUAGCAAUACAUCAGCGGCAGACGGGUGAGUAACGCGUGGGAACAUACCUUUUGGUUCGGAACAACCCAGGGAAACUUGGGCUAAUACCGGAUAAGCCCUUACGGGGAAAGAUUUAUCGCCGAAAGAUUGGCCCGCGUCUGAUUAGCUAGUUGGUGAGGUAAUGGCUCACCAAGGCGACGAUCAGUAGCUGGUCUGAGAGGAUGAUCAGCCACAUUGGGACUGAGACACGGCCCAAACUCCUACGGGAGGCAGCAGUGGGGAAUAUUGGACAAUGGGCGCAAGCCUGAUCCAGCCAUGCCGCGUGAGUGAUGAAGGCCCUAGGGUUGUAAAGCUCUUUUGUGCGGGAAGAUAAUGACGGUACCGCAAGAAUAAGCCCCGGCUAACUUCGUGCCAGCAGCCGCGGUAAUACGAAGGGGGCUAGCGUUGCUCGGAAUCACUGGGCGUAAAGGGUGCGUAGGCGGGUCUUUAAGUCAGGGGUGAAAUCCUGGAGCUCAACUCCAGAACUGCCUUUGAUACUGAGGAUCUUGAGUUCGGGAGAGGUGAGUGGAACUGCGAGUGUAGAGGUGAAAUUCGUAGAUAUUCGCAAGAACACCAGUGGCGAAGGCGGCUCACUGGCCCGAUACUGACGCUGAGGCACGAAAGCGUGGGGAGCAAACAGGAUUAGAUACCCUAGUAGUCC
rnacentral:rRNA from 1 species